UCAUCAUGCCCUUUAUGUCCUGGGCUACACACGUGCUACAAAGGUUGGUACAGAGGGAAGCUAUAUAGUGAUAUAAUGCAAAACUCCAAAGCCAAUCCCAGUUCGGAUUGUAGGCUGCAACUCGCCUACAUGAAGUCGGAGUUGCUAGUGAUCGCGGAUCAGAAUGUCGCGGUGAAUGCGUUCCCGGGUCUUGUACACACCGCCCGUCACACCAUGGGAGUUGAUAAUACCCGAAGCCUGUGACCUAAUUGAGGAGCAGUCGAAGGUAGGAUUGAUGACUGGGGUGAAGUCGUAACAAGGUAGCCGUAUCGGAA
rnacentral:rRNA from 1 species